rnacentral:rRNA from 1 species
GACGAACGCUGGCGGCGUGCUUAACACAUGCAAGUCGAGCGGUAAGGCCCUUUCGGGGGUACACGAGCGGCGAACGGGUGAGUAACACGUGGGUGACCUGCCCUCAGCUCUGGGAUAAGCCUGGGAAACUGGGUCUAAUACCGGAUAUGACCUGCUGCUUCAUGGUGGUGGGUGGAAAGUUUUUCGGCUGGGGAUGGGCCCGCGGCCUAUCAGCUUGUUGGUGGGGUGAUGGCCUACCAAGGCGACGACGGGUAGCCGGCCUGAGAGGGCGACCGGCCACACUGGGACUGAGACACGGCCCAGACUCCUACGGGAGGCAGCAGUGGGGAAUAUUGCGCAAUGGGCGGAAGCCUGACGCAGCGACGCCGCGUGGGGAUGACGGCC